ACGGGGGGAGCAAGCGUUGUUCGGAUUUACUGGGCGUAAAGGGCGCGUAGGCGGUCCGUUUAGUGUGAAGUGAAAUCUCCAGGGCUCAACCCGGAAACUGCUUUGCAAACUGGCGGACUAGAGGAAGGUAGAGGUGAAUGGAAUUCCUGGUGUAGCGGUGACAUGCAUUGAUAUCAGGAGGAACACCCGUGGCGAAGGCGGUUCACUGGACCUUAUCUGACGCUGAGGCGCGAAAGCGUGGGUAGCAAACAGGA
rnacentral:rRNA from 1 species